rnacentral:rRNA from 1 species
AUUGAACGCUGGCGGCAUGCCUUACACAUGCAAGUCGAACGGCAGCACGGGUGCUUGCACCUGGUGGCGAGUGGCGAACGGGUGAGUAAUAUAUCGGAACGUACCUUAUUGUGGGGGAUAACGCAGCGAAAGCUGUGCUAAUACCGCAUAAUCCCUAAGGGGGAAAGCGGGGGACCGUAAGGCCUCGCGCAAUUAGAGCGGCCGAUACCUGAUUAGACAGUUGGUGAGGUAAAGGCGCAGCAAGGCAACGAUCAGUAGCUGUGCUGAGAGGACGAUCAGCCACACUGGGACUGAGACACGGCCCAGACGCCUACGGGAGGCAGCAGUGGGGAAUUUUGGACAAUGGGGGCAACCCUGAUCCAGCAAUGCCGCGUGAGUGAAGAAGGCCUUCGGGUUGUAAAGCUCUUUUGUCAGGGAAGAAACAGCAGCUCUAACACAGUUUGCGAAUGACGGUACCUGAAGAAUAAGCACCGGCUAACUACGUGCCAGCCGCCGCGGUAA